rnacentral:rRNA from 1 species
GGCGCGUAGGCGGCCAACUAAGUCAGACGUGAAAUCCCUCGGCUCAACCGGGGAACUGCGUCUGAUACUGGAUGGCUUGAAUUCAGGAGAGGGAUGCGGAAUUCCAGGUGUAGCGGUGAAAUGCGUAGAUAUCUGGAGGAACACCGGUGGCGAAGGCGGCAUCCUGGACCGAGAUUGACGCUGAUGCGCGAAAGCCAGGGGAGCAAACGGGAUUAGAUACCCCGGUAGUCCUGGCCCUAAACGAUGAAUGCUUGGUGUGGCGGGUAUCGAUCCCUGCCGUGCCGAAGCUAACGCAUUAAGCAUUCCGCCUGGGGAGUACGGUCGCAAGGCUGAGACUCAAAGGAAUUGACGGGGGCCCGCACAAGCGGUGGAGCAUGUGGUUUAAUUCGACGCAACGCGAAGAACCUUACCCAGGCUCGAAAUGCAGAUGAACGUCGGUGAAAGCCGGUUUCCGCAAGGACAUCUGUAUAGGUGCUGCAUGGCUGUCGUCAGCUCGUGUCGUGAGAUGUUGGGUUAAGUCCCGCGACGAGCGCAACCCUUGUCCUCUGUUGCCAUCAGGUUAAGCUGGGCACUCUGAGGAGACUGCCGGUGAUAAACCGGAGGAAGGUGCGGAUGACGUCAAGUCAGCAUGGCCUU